UUAAACAAUGUAAAUACCCUAAAGGCACAAUAUUCCUUCUAAUCUCAGAAACCAAGCAGGAUCAGCCCUAGGUAGUGCUUAGAUGGGAGACCACCAAUGAAUGCCAGGUGCUGUUGGCA
rnacentral:rRNA from 11 species